rnacentral:misc_RNA from 1 species
AAGGAUAAGGAAAGCUAUCAAUUGUAUAGCUUGACUAGGUUGGGCAAGCAUUUUGCUGUGUAUUCUAUUUCUUUUGCUUUGUUAAGAGUGGUUUUCGUUACAUUUAGUAUUAAUGAUCAAGUAUGUUAUGUAAAUAAUCAUGGUAACAAGUAUAUUUUCACAUAUAGUAAUAGACGUUUAAGAAUAUCUGUCUUUGGUGAAGUUAUCUUGCAUGGAUCAAAAAUU